AGUGGACGCUGGCGGUAGGCCUAACACAUGCAAGUCGAACGGCAGCACAGUAAGAGCUUGCUCUUACGGGUGGCGAGUGGCGGACGGGUGAGGAAUACAUCGGAAUCUACUUUUUCGUGGGGGAUAACGUGGGGAAACUUACGCUAAUACCGCAUACGACCUACGGGUGAAAGCAGGGGAUCUUCGGACCUUGCGCGAUUGAAUGAGCCGAUGUCGGAUUAGCUAGUUGGCGGGGUAAAGGCCCACCAAGGCGACGAUCCGUAGCUGGUCUGAGAGGAUGAUCAGCCACACUGGAACUGAGACACGGUCCAGACUCCUACGGGAGGCAGCAGUGGGGAAUAUUGGACAAUGGGCGCAAGCCUGAUCCAGCCAUACCGCGUGGGUGAAGAAGGCCUUCGGGUUGUAAAGCCCUUUUGUUGGGAAAGAAAAGCAGCAGGUUAAUACCCCGCUGUUCUGACGGUACCCAAAGAAUAAGCACCGGCUAACUUCGUG
rnacentral:rRNA from 1 species